ACUACGCGGAGGCUUUCCAGAGGCCGGUUCCUCCACUCCAUCCUGGAAUACAUCAUGGCGUCUGCAGCUGAGACCAGACGAGGCAGCUGGCUUCUGUGCGGGGGCCUUGCUUAUUGAAAAAUGUGUCUGCUGUUCAAGAGAAUUCUCAUCAGUGCAAUGAGACGCUCGGGCCAUGAGAGGUACCCUGGGCUGAUGGGGAACGGCGCACGGAUGUCCGAUGAUGCCCUCCAUCUCAGCUCCCUCGCGGCGCUCUCUCACCUCCAGGUUUAAAUCGGGUCUCUCUCUUUUCCAGCUUUAAAUCUAUCCUUUGGAUACCUGGGAGCAGAGGAUCACGUGACAGGGCUCCACCACGGCCCCUGUUGGGGCGGCUCUCGCCAGUGGCCCGGUUCACUGACCUGUGCUCUUUGCAACCAACAGGGGUAGCAUCCCCCUUAUUUUCCUGAGGCUCAGAGGUGAGGUGGGCUGUGUUCCAGGGCUGCUGCCUCCCUACCCACGUUCCUUGCCUGCCCUCCUGUGUUUCCCAUAGUGACACUGACAUCUCAGCCCCCGGACCCGAGGGGAAGCCGCAGGGCCAGAGGAGAAGGGACCAGGCUUUCUAAGACAGGCAAGUGCAGAAGCCCACUCCCCAGCCCCUACCCUGGCCACCCUCCCACUCUGGGUCGCUGCUUCCACUGCUCUGUUCUCCCCAGUGUCUAACACUUCUAUUAAACAUAGUAUUUUUUACUGAUGUGUAAUAUACAUAUACACAUGUGCAUAAAUUGUAAGCUUCCUGCUUGAUGGACUUUUGCAAACUGAACACAGCCAGGUCACCAGCACUCAGAUGAAGAAUUGGGACAGGUACUACCACCUUGGAAUAUUUCAUUGUGCCCCUUGUCAGGCGCUGCGCAUACUAGUUUCGAUAGAUUUGUUUUAGCCUGCAUUUGAACUUCAUGUAAGCGAAGUCAUGUCAGGAUGUACGCUUUUUGUGCCUGGCCUCUCUCGCUCAAGAUUCACUUACAGUCAUCGUGGGUAGCAAUAGCACGCCGUCUCUCAUUACUUUGUGAUGGUCCGUUGUGCGAAUACACCUCAGUUUACUUCUGCGUUCUACUGCUGAGUCUUCCAGAUUUUGGCCGCUAACAUAUGUUCCCAUGAAUAUUCGCUGAAAUCUUUGCCUGUCCCAAAGUUAUGAAGAUAUUCUGCUUUCUCCUAGAAGCUUUAUUGUCAUAUCUCUCACAUGUGUAUCUGCAAUCCAGCUGGAGUUGAUUUGCGUGUAUGCUGGAAGAUGUCUGGUUGCCUACCCUGUGCUGGCUACUGGUCACUGGGGAUCCACAGCGGACAAAACGGACAGCAAAUUCCACUCUCAUGGAGAAAGGCGAUGCGAACAUAAAUAAAUAAAAUGCAUCAAGUGUGAAGGAAGAUGAUAACUGCUGUGGAGCAAAAUAAGGCAGGACAGAGGGACUGCGAGUGUUAAUUUCUCCUGCCAGUGCCUCCCCUUAGCAGAACCCGGCCCGCAGCCCACUGAUGGAAUUGCUGGUCAAAGAAGCCUAGGGAUCGCCCCUCUCCGCCCCCCCACCUCCCACCCCCGAGAUCCAGGGCAGUCCCAGGGAGAUGAGAACUGGCCUUGACAGUGGACCUUCCGACAGCGAGAUCCCUCCUCACAUCCUACCUCCUCCUGGCUAAAGUGAAAAAGACCAAUCACACCAAAUGCUGGCAAGGACAGAGAGGACCUGGAACUCUCUCAUCUUGCUAAUGGUGUGUAUGGUAGUAAAAGUACUUUGGAAAACUGCUCGGCAGUCUCUCUGAUAAAGCUGGAUAGACACCCACCCAGGACCCAGCAAUUCUACCCCCAGGGAUGUACCCGAGGAGAAGUGAGAACCUACAUUCACAAAAAAGACUUGUCCUCGAAUGUGAAUAGCAGCGCUGUAAUAGCCAAAGUGCUGGAAACAACCCCAAAUGUCUGGAAACAGGAAAAUGGAUUAAAUUAUGGUUAAUGCCUACAAUGGAAUGUGCAUUACAAUAAAAAUAAGCACACGAGUGCUACAUGCAACCACAGGGAUGAAUCCCCAAGACAUUACGCCGAGUGAACUAGGCCAGACGUAACGGAGAACAUAAUUGUGUGACUGCGUGUAUAUCAAGCACAAAGACGGGCAAAACCGAUCUACGGUGAUGAAGGAGGGCGGCCUGGCAGGGGGCACGAGAGCAACCUUCUGGGAUUAUGGAAAGGCUCUCUACCUUGGUCUGGGCGUUGACAGUACAGAUACGUUUGACAAAACUCCUCAACUGUACUCUUCGGAUCUGUGUAUUUCCUACUCUGGGAAAGUGACACCUCGAAAAAGGAAGAAAAUGUACAAACACAUAAAAGACUUCAGCCUUUGUCUCCCUUCCUCGGCCACCAGCCCAGCUCGAGGAGUGCUUCUCGAUGUCAGCCAUCCACGGACCCCGCGGCUUUCUCCCACCCUGCACACGGGGGCGGAUCCGUGUUGCCACAGCAGCCGUUGGGGACAGCACGGAGCUCUGGACCUGGAGCCCAGGAAGCCCCGUUUAAGUCGUGGCUCAUCCUCUCCCAGCUGUGUCAUUUAGUUGAGCCACAUCACUUCUCGAGUCCUCUUUUAUCAUCUGAAAGACGGGCUAACAACACCUCCUUCAGAGGAUUGUUGGGGAAAUGCAAAUGAGCUAGCGGCAGGGAAAGAACUUCUGGAAACAAGAAUUCAGCAACCAUAGGGUACUGCUCAUACCGCUCAGCCACAGGUGCCUCUGACCAGUGCGGGCCUGACUCCUGCACAGUUGACAAUCUGGGUAUAACUUUUGACUGCCCGGAAACUUUGUUACUGAUAGCCUGCUGUUAAGAGAACCCAACCAGUAACAUAAGCAGUCAAUUAACACGUAUUCUGUAUGUGUAUUGUAGACUGUAUUCUUUUUUAAAUGUUUAUUUACUUAUUUAGAGAGAGAAACACAGAGAAAGACAGUAUGAGUGGGGGAAGGGCAGAGAGAGAGAGAGAGAGAGAGAGAGAG